CAUGCAAGUCGAGCGGUAGCACAGAGAGCUUGCUCUCGGGUGACGAGCGGCGGACGGGUGAGUAAUGUCUGGGAAACUGCCUGAUGGAGGGGGAUAACUACUGGAAACGGUAGCUAAUACCGCAUAACGUCGCAAGACCAAAGUGGGGGACCUUCGGGCCUCAUGCCAUCAGAUGUGCCCAGAUGGGAUUAGCUAGUAGGUGGGGUAACGGCUCACCUAGGCGACGAUCCCUAGCUGGUCUGAGAGGAUGACCAGCCACACUGGAACUGAGACACGGUCCAGACUCCUACGGGAGGCAGCAGUGGGGAAUAUUGCACAAUGGGCGCAAGCCUGAUGCAGCCAUGCCGCGUGUGUGAAGAAGGCCUUCGGGUUGUAAAGCACUUUCAGCGGGGAGGAAGGCGAUAAGGUUAAUAACCUUGUCGAUUGACGUUACCCGCAGAAGAAGCACCGGCUAACUCCGUGCCAGCAGCCGCGGUAAUACGGAGGGUGCAAGCGUUAAUCGGAAUUACUGGGCGUAAAGCGCACGCAGGCGGUCUGUCAAGUCGGAUGUGAAAUCCCCGGGCUCAACCUGGGAACUGCAUUCGAAACUGGCAGGCUAGAGUCUUGUAGAGGGGGGUAGAAUUCCAGGUGUAGCGGUGAAAUGCGUAGAGAUCUGGAGGAAUACCGGUGGCGAAGGCGGCCCCCUGGACAAAGACUGACGCUCAGGUGCGAAAGCGUGGGGAGCAAACAGGAUUAGAUACCCUGGUAGUCCACGCCGUAAACGAUGUCGAUUUGGAGGUUGUGCCCUUGAGGCGUGGCUUCCGGAGCUAACGCGUUAAAUCGACCGCCUGGGGAGUACGGCCGCAAGGUUAAAACUCAAAUGAAUUGACGGGGGCCCGCACAAGCGGUGGAGCAUGUGGUUUAAUUCGAUGCAACGCGAAGAACCUUACCUGGUCUUGACAUCCACAGAACUUUCCAGAGAUGGAUUGGUGCCUUCGGGAACUGUGAGACAGGUGCUGCAUGGCUGUCGUCAGCUCGUGUUGUGAAAUGUUGGGUUAAGUCCCGCAACGAGCGCAACCCUUAUCCUUUGUUGCCAGCGGUCAGGCCGGGAACUCAAAGGAGACUGCCAGUGAUAAACUGGAGGAAGGUGGGGAUGACGUCAAGUCAUCAUGGCCCUUACGACCAGGGCUACACACGUGCUACAAUGGCAUAUACAAAGAGAAGCGACCUCGCGAGAGCAAGCGGACCUCAUAAAGUAUGUCGUAGUCCGGAUUGGAGUCUGCAACUCGACUCCAUGAAGUCGGAAUCGCUAGUAAUCGUAGAUCAGAAUGCUACGGUGAAUACGUUCCCGGGCCUUGUACACACCGCCCGUCACACCAUGGGAGUGGGUUGCAAAAGAAGUAGGUAGCUUAACC
rnacentral:rRNA from 1 species